GGGAGGCAGCAGUGGGGAAUUUUGGACAAUGGGGGAAACCCUGAUCCAGCCAUCCCGCGUGUGCGAUGAAGGCCUUCGGGUUGUAAAGCACUUUUGGCAGGAAAGAAACGUCAUGGGUUAAUACCCCGUGAAACUGACGGUACCUGCAGAAUAAGCACCGGCUAACUACGUGCCAGCAGCCGCGGUAAUACGUAGGGUGCAAGCGUUAAUCGGAAUUACUGGGCGUAAAGCGUGCGCAGGCGGUUCGGAAAGAAAGAUGUGAAAUCCCAGAGCUUAACUUUGGAACUGCAUUUUUAACUACCGGGCUAGAGUGUGUCGGAGGGAGGUGGAAUUCCGCGUGUAGCAGUGAAAUGCGUAGAUAUGCGGAGGAACACCGAUGGCGAAGGCAGCCUCCUGGGAUAACACUGACGCUCAUGCACGAAAGCGUGGGGAGCAAACAGGAUUAGAUACCCUGGUAGUCCACGCCCUAAACGAUGUCAACUAGCUGUUGGGGCCUUCGGGCCUUGGUAGCGCAGCUAACGCGUGAAGUUGACCGCCUGGGGAGUACGGUCGCAAGAUUAAAACUCAAAUGAAUUGACGG
rnacentral:rRNA from 1 species